CAGGCUGCAACUCGCCUGCACGAAGUUGGAAUUGCUAGUAAUCGUGGAUCAGCAUGCCACGGUGAAUACGUUCCCGGGUCUUGUACACACCGCCCGUCACACCAUGGGAGCCGGUAAUACCCGAAGUCAGUAGUCUAACCGCAAGGAGGACGCUGCCGAAGGUGGAUUGGCGACUGGGGUGAAGUCGUAACAAGGUACC
rnacentral:rRNA from 1 species